UUUGUGUUUGGUUACUAGUGGCUCUAUUCACAGUUUAGUUUUUUCAAUGUCUUGUAGGAGCUCGAUCAUACGCAAGUGAAGGACCUAAAGACUACAAUCUACUUGGUAAUGUGAAACCACGUUUCUCAAAUCAACAUUAAUCCUUGUCCACAUUUUCUUAUAUACAUUAAUUGUGUCCAUGUCUACAGCUUACACCUACUUCUCCUGAACUUGAUGUGACGAAACCCCAAGAUAUGGUUCGUCCUGGGAGUUUGAGUUUGCUAGCUGAAGCUUAUGAUCGAUGCGUUCAAGUGUGUGCUGAAUAUGCUAAAAAAAUUUAUCUUGGUUAGGAUCUUCUUCUUCUUUCUUUGCUGAGUUUUAUGUUCACAACAUAUAUGUCCACUUUUUAUUUGUCCACAUUUUUUGGUGUUAACAGAAAUGCACACUGUUUUAUUUCAGAGAAAGCACACUUACGAGAUGAGAGCAUCUUUCAGUACUCAUAUUUAUACACUGGGCAGCUUCAAGAGUUCAUAUACAAGAUGAGAGCAUCUUGCAGUACUCAUAUUUAUACACUGGGCAGCUUCAAGAGUUCAUAUACAUUUGAUAAACCUCAUUCACGUGUACACAACUUUCUCAUCCACGUUUUGUUCGACCGAUAAAGCUUUUAUCCAUAUGUUUUAUGUCCACGUCCACGAAGACAUAUUCAAUAACUUAUACUUUGCAAUAUUUAAUAAAAUAUUAAAAUAUAAAGUAUAUGGAUAUCAAAAUAUAUAUAAAACUCAUUUUAUACAUAUAUUACAUUUGAAUUUACAUAUUAGAAAACAAAUAAUAAGGAACAUAAUAUGAUGGGAUAUAAAAGAUGAUCUCCAAAUGUUAGCAAAAUAAAAUAAAAUAAAGAUAAUCUCUAAUAUGAAUUUAUACACAACUCUCUUAUCAAACAUUCCAUAAGUCACAUCCACAUUUUUCAUGUACACAUGAAACCAUUAACUAGUAAAAUAAAAUUCGAAAAUAUAAUAAAAUAUUAAAACUAUAUAUAUAUGGAUAUCAAAAUAAAAAGGAAAAAAAAUUAGACAUUUAUACAGUUAUUAUAUAUUUAUUUACAUAUUAGGAAAUGAAAUAAUAAUGAAUUAAAUAUGAUGGAGGUAAAAAAAAAUACUACAACCCUUAGAUUAUUUUGUAUACCCACCAUCUAGGUUGCAAUUUGUCACUUUUUAGUAUACCUACUUUUUUUUCCUCACUAGAUUACAAACAGACUUCCCAUCGCUUAACUAAACAAAAGAAAAUCAAUUACACUAUCUUAUUUCAUGUGGUUGGGCAAAGGGUAUUUCUGUACAAAAGCUGUCUGGGAAACCGUGAAAGUAUGCCUCCAUCGUGUUGUGUCUUAUAAUGUCAAAAAGAUAAAAAUGUGUCCUAUAGAGAAAUCAACUCAAAGAUUAAGUUAUUGGACAAAUUUCCAAAAUAGCACAUUUCUAAGUUUAUAUCACAAAAAUAUCACAAAAAUAGCACUCAAAAACUAAAAUGACCAAAAUAACACAUUUCUAAGUUUAUCCUUUGAAAAUUUUAAUUUUUUUAUUUUUCAAAAUUUGAAAUCUUAUCCCCAAAACCUCAUUUCUCAACUCUAAACCCUAAACCCUAAACUCUAAACCCUAAACCCUAAACUCUAAACCCUAAACCCUAAACUCUAAACCCUAAACCCUAAACCCUAAAUCCUAAACCCUAAACCCUAAACCCUAAACCCUAAACCCUAAACCCUAAACCCUAAACCCUAAACCCUAAACCCUAAACCCUAAACCCUAAACCCUAAACCCUAAACCCUAAACCCUAAACCCUAAACCCUAAACCCUAAACCCUAAACCCUAAACCCUAAACCCUAAACCCUAAACCCUAAACCCUAAACCCUAAACCCUAAACCCUAAACCCUAAACCCUAAACCCUAAACCCUAAACCCUAAACCCUAAACCCUAAACCCUAAACCCUAAACCCUAAACCCUAAACCCUAAACCCUAAACCCUAAACCCUAAACCCUAAACCCUAAACCCUAAACCCUAAACCCUAAACCCUAAACUCUAAACCCUAAACUCUAAACCCUAACCCCUAAACCCUAAAUCCUAAACCCCACCCUUUAACUAUAAACCCUAAGUUUGUGAUUUUUGAUAAAACAUUAAGUUCUAUUUUUGUGACUUUUGACCUUGAGUGCUAAUUUGAGAACAAAAACUUGAUUUAGUGCUAUUUUUGUCUUUUUCUCUAAGUUAUUUCACUAUGUUAUAUAAUAUAUUACAUUAUUUAAAUAUUAACUUCCAAAAGUUCUACAGUAUUUUGAGAUGAGUUUGAAGCAUAUCUGAAUGGAAUCCAAUAGAAUUUUUGUUUUCUUCUUGCCUCUUGGAACUACCAAGAUACUUAAAAAGCAAUAUCAAUUUCAUUUUCUCAUUAAACAAAGAAAAAUGGCAAUCUCUUUUCUGUGUCUCUUUCUCAUCACCUUUGCUUCCUUAAUCUUUGUCGGAAAGAAGAUCAAACGCUCUAAAUGGAAUCUUCCUCCAAACCCUCCACAGUAUCCGAUUAUCGGAAACUUACACCAAGUUGGAGGGUUGCCUCACACAGGUCACUUCAACGUCUAGCCGAAAGAAUGGGACAUGUCAUGCUUGUUCACUUAGGUUUGGUCCCUGUAACGGUAAUUUCAUCGAAAGAAGCAGCUGAAGAAGUGCUCAGAACUAGGACAAAGAUUGUUGCACCAGGCCUAAGCUUGUCGGGUCGAGGCUAAUCUCUCGGGGUUUUAAGGAUAUCGGCUUUACGCAGUACAGUGAAGAGUGAAAAGAGCGGCGUAAGUUCUUGGUGCGAGAGUUUUUCUCUUUCAAAAAGGUCCAGUCUUUUGGAUAUAUCAGAGAGGAGUGUAAUAUUAGGGAAACCAAUCCAUAUAUGUAAAGGACCUUAGUGUCAUUAGAAUCAUUAGACCUCUAACCUAGUUUCCUACUGUGUAUAUAUAUCGUGUACAUUUCUAGUGAAUAUAAGAUAAGCUCUCAUAAUCUCUUUAUGGUAUCAAGAGCAGCAGAUCCUAAAACCUAGAAAUCAAAAUUUUUCUUUAUCAAAAUUCUCAUGGCCGCCAACAUCACUCCCAUUGUUCUCAACGACAACACCGUACCAAACACACCAAACCUCCUUUCUAUCAAUAUGGCGAAUGUUACCAAGCUUACAUCCGAUAACUAUCUCAUGUGGAGUAUCCAAACUCAAGCCUUGCUUGAUGGUUAUGGUCUUGCAGAUCAUCUUGAUGGAUCCAUUGCUUCGCCUCCACAAACCGUGACUGUCAAUGGUGUGGUUACGAAAAAUCAAGAACACAUUCUCUGGAAGCGUCAAGAUCGCCUUAUAUUCAGUGCUCUCAUCGGUGCUAUGACCACAAACCUUCAGCCGAUUGUGUCCAGGGCUUCUAAUGCUUCUCAGAUCUUGCAGACUCUAUCACACACCUACGCAAAACCGAGCCGUGGUCAUGUCAAACAACUCAAGGAACAACUCAGAGUGUGGAAGAAGGAGGAUAAGACAAUCGACACUUACAUUCAGGGCUUUACCACUCGCUUUAACCAGUUGGCUCUUCUCGGUAAGCCGUAUUGAUCAUGAAGAUCAGAUCGAUGCUAUUCUAGAAGGAUUACCUGAGGAGUACAAGCCUGUGAAGGAUCAGAUCGAAGCCAGGGACACUCCUCCUACCAUCACUGAGAUCCAUGAGCGUCUUAUAAACCAUGAAGUCCGUCUCCAGUCUCAAGCUCCAUCCCCUGCAGCAACCUUUCCUGUCACCGCAAAUGUGGCUCAGCAGCGCUCCAACAAUAACAAUCGUGGCUAUCGCAACAACAACAACAGUGGCUAUCGCAACAACAACUCCUCAAACUGGCAAAAUCAACAAUACAACAACAACAACAGGAACACAAAUCGUUCACCAAGACCUUAUCUAGGUCGAUGUCAGAUCUGUGGAACUCAAGGUCAUGGUGCUAAGAGAUGUCCACAACUUCAUUCGUUCCAGUCAGUUCAGACGCCUCCAACCAGCUCUCCUUUUACGCCAUGGCAACUUCGUGCUAAUCUUGCAAGCAAAAAGAAACACUGCGUACACGGCUGAUAGCUGGCUCUUGGACAGUGGUGCAAACCAUCAUCUCACUGCCGAUUUGAACAAUCUGUCACUACAUCAACAAUACCAUGGUGGAGAUGAGGUUAUGAUCGCAGAUGUAUCAAGCAUGGCUAUAACACAUACUGGUUCUAAGAUUCUUCUCUCUAAUCCCCGUAACUUGUUAUUAGAUAAAGUCCUUUGUGUUCCUGAUGUGCACAAGAACUUGAUAUCUGUCUACCGCCUAUGCAAUACUAAUAAUGUUUCGGUGGAAUUCUUUCCUGCCUCCUUUCAGGUGAAGGAUCUCAGCACGGGGGUUCCACUUCUUCAAGGCAAAACUAGAGAAGGACUGUAUGAGUGGUCGAUUUCAAAACACCAGGCGACAGCAAUGUUCACCUCCACAAGAUCGUUGUCUAGCUUGGCUAUUUGGCACUCGAGGCUCGGCCAUCCCCAUACUUCAGUUCUAAACACAAUUAUUUCCCAGUUCUCAUUACCAUUGUCGCAUGCUUCUCAAACUUCUUUUUCUUGUUCUGUUUGCCUCUCAAAUAAAAGUCACAAACUUCCUUUCUCACAAUCCUUCAUUGUCUCAACUAAACCUCUGGAAUAUGUCUUUUCUGAUGUCUGGUCUUCACCAAUAACCUCAACAGACAGCCACAAAUACUAUCUUCUUUUUGUAGACCAUUAUACUCGAUAUUCUUGGCUCUACCCUAUCAAAAGAAAAUCCCAAGUUCAAGAUAUCUUCCAAGCCUUCAAACCACUCGUUGAGAACCAUUUCAACACAAAGAUCAAAACUUUAUAUUCUGACAAUGGAGGGGAAUACAUAGCUUUACGAGCAUACCUUGCAAGCCAAGGUAUUUCCCACAUGACGAUGCCACCUCACACUCCAGAGCAUAACAGUCUCUCGGAACGCAAGCAUCGGUAUAUCGUCGAGACUGGUCUCACACUUCUUUUGACAGCUGGUAUACGAAAAUCGUAUUGGCCCUAUGCUUUCUCCAUGGCAGUUUAUUUGAUCAAUCGUAUGCCAACACCGGUUCUUGGUCAUCAAUCGCCAUAUCAGAAACUGUUUGGAGCAGCACCAAAGUACGAGAAGCUCAAAGUUUUUGGGUGUAUGUGUUUUCCAUGGUUGAGACCUUAUAACAACCACAAGCUUGAAGGAAAAUCAACUCCUUGUGUCUUCUUGGGAUAUUCAAUCACUCAGAGUGCUAUUAUUGCCUACACAGGGCGACAUGACGAAUCUUCACGACACGUCAUGUUCAGUUUCUGGAACAUGAGUUCCCGUUCAAGAAAGAUAAUAAAUCUGUCUCUGUUGCAACUGAAACGCCUCCGGUUCUUUCUACUACACCACCAGCUUCAGUCAUUCCACUGACGUCUCUACAGAUGCCACCGCCGCGGAACCCCUGCGAGAUUCUUCACCAGCCAUCGUCAUCAACAACUCCAGCACCGCCAUCGACAUCUCAGGUAUGUUCUCUAAAUCCGUCAAACUCUCUCCCUCUCCACUCUGGGCCUUCUGCCCAGCACAAUAAUGGGCUUCAACCCCAAGCCCAGCCAUUAAACCCACAAACACAAGCCCAAAAUAACCAACCCAUACCCUAUUUCUCAUGCCCAAAACCCGGCCAACACUUUCUCACAAAAUCCAAUUCCUCCCUUACAAACAAACCCACCUACGCUCUCUUCUUCACAAACAACAGAAACUCCGCAAAAUCCUCCCCAACAAACCACUUCAACUCCAGCGACAUCCAUCAUACCAGAUCAAACCAAUGCUCCAAAUCGUCAUUCUAUGCAAACCAGAUCCAAAAACCAAAUUCACAAACCAAACCACAAAUUUGGCUACCUUACCAAACAAACAAACCAAAACCGACAUCUUUCCCCUGAACCAACUUCUGUAACACAAGCGUUGAAAGAUAAGAUCUGGCGUGGUGCUAUGUAUCUUGAAUAUGAUGAUCAUGCUCGUAAUCAUAUGUGGGAUUUAGUUCCGGCUCACCCAUCUCAAAACCUUGUUGGAUGCCGACGGGUAUACACUACAAAGUAUCUUCCGAAUGGUGAGGUUGAACGACCUAAAGCUCGUUUGGUUGCGAGAGGAAACACAGAACAAUAUGGUGUUGAUUAUGCUGAAACUUUUAGUCCCGUAAUCAAGACAACUACAAUCCGGCUUGUUCUCGAUAUUGCAGUUCACAAAGAUUGGGAAAUCAAGCAACUAGAUGUCAACAAUGCUUUUCUCCAAGGUGAACUCCAAGAAGAAGUCUACAUGACACAACCACCAGGUUUUAUUGAUCAGGAUCAUCCGUCUCAUGUUUGUCGUUUACGUAAGGCGAUUUACGGUUUGAAACAAGCCCCUAGGGCAUGGUACAUGGCUCUGAAACAACAUCUUACAUCAACGGGGUUCAUCAACUCACGAGCAGAUGCGUCUCUCUUCAGAAGGAACGUUGCCUCAACAUUCACAUACGUCCUGAUUUACGUAGACGACAUCAUCGUGACAGGAAAUGACUCGUCAACAAUUUCCAGAGUUCUUCAGUCGCUUGCGGACAGGUUUUCAAUCAAAGACCCUGUUGAUCUACAUUAUUUUCUGGGUAUAGUGGCCAUCAGAACACAGCAAGAUUUACAUCUCAAUCAAAGGAAAUGCAUCGUUGAUUUACUCACGAGGACAAAGAUGCUUGAUGCUAAACCCGUUUCUACGCCACUGCCUAUAACCCCGAAACUUACUCUGCGUUCAGGUACUCUUCUUGCGAAUCCACAAGAGUAUCGUUCGGUUGUCGGUAGCCUUCAGUAUUUGGCAUUCACACGCCCUGACAUCUCCUUCGCAGUCAACAGACUAUCACAAUUUAUGCAUUCUCCUACGACUGAGCAUUGGCAAGCUACAAAGCGAGUUCUGCGAUAUCUGGCUGGUUCUCAUACUUCUGGGAUUUUUCUAUCCAGGCAGUCUCCGCUUACACUUCAUGGCUUCUCCGACGUAAAUUGGGCAGGCGACACUGAUGACUAUGUCUCUAAAAAUGUGUAUGUUAUCUAUCUUGGCAGUAACCCGGUUUCAUGGUCAUCUAAGAAACAGAUAGCUGUGGCACGCUCGUCUACUGAGGCAGAAUACCGGUCUGUCGCCAAUACAGCAUCUGAAAUAUUGUGGCUCUGUUCUCUCCUCCAAGAACUUGGCAUCCGACUUCCAAAGCUCCAGUGAUCUACUGUGAUAAUGUGGGUGCUACCUAUCUAUGUGCCAACCCGGUUUUUCACUCAACGAUGAAACACAUUCCGCUCGACUAUCACUUCAUCCACAAUCUGAUCAGUUCAGGGGCUCUCCGAGUCUCCCAUUUUUCCACUCAUGAUCAGCUUGCUGAUGCGUUAACAAAAUCAUUACCAAGAUCAAAGUUUCAACAAGCAUGUUCCAAGAUUGGACUGACUACACCCCCUCCAUCUUGCGGGAGAGUAUUAAGGAAACCAAUCCAUAUAUGUAAAGGACCUUAGUGUCAUUAGAAUCAUUAGACCUCUAACCUAGUUUCCUACUGUGUAUACAUAUAUCGUGUACAUUUCUAGUGAAUUACAUAAGCUCUCAUAAUCUCUUUAUGUAACUUGCUAGCCAAGAAACUGCCUGAAUCCUCGGUGGAGCAAUCUCCAGUUGAUUUGAGCAAAACCCUCUUUUGUCUAACCACGAGUAUCUUGUUUAGAGUUGCUUUUGGUGAGAGUUUCCACGAGAGCAAGAUUAUCGAUCAAGAAAAGAUCGAUGAGCUUGUGUUCGAAGGAGAGACUGCCCUAGCUAGUUUUGCUUUCUCUGAUUUCUUCCCCAUCGCGGGAGUUGGAUGGCUCUUUGACUUGCUUUCGGGACAACGCAAGAGGCUCAAUGAUGUUUAUCUCAAGCUCGAUGUCCUGUUUCAACAUAUGAUCGAUGAUCAUUUGAGUCCUCAAAGAUCAAAAGAUCACUAUGACAUUAUAGAUUUAAUGUUGAAAGUGAUACAUAAACAAGGAAAAGAUGAUUCCUUGAGGUUCACGGUAGAUCAUAUCAAGGGGGUUCUCGCGGUAAAUCUAAGAGUUGUUUAAAAACGUUAGUAUUCAAAUUUAACAUAAAGUUUUAAUUUACUUUAUUGGUUUGUUGGUAGAAUAUAUUUCUUGCUGGGAUAGACACUGGGGCCAUCACCAUGAUAUGGACAAUGACGGAACUUGCAAGAAACAUGGAAGUGAUGAAGAAAUUUCAAGAAGAGAUAUGUGACCGCCUUGGCAACAGUAAGGAGAGAAUCACCGAAGAAGAUAUCGGUAAAUUUCCGCACUUGUACCUCGUGAUCAAGGAAACAUUUAGAUUACACCCAACAGUUCCUCUUCUGCUUCCAAGGGAAACUAUGGCUCACAUCAAGGUUCAAGGCUAUGAUAUUCCUCCAAAGAGACGAAUCUUGGUCAACGCUUGGGCCAUAGGACGAGAUCCCAAACUCUGGAUAAACCCAGAAGAGUUUAACCCCGAUAGGUUUAUUGAUAGUCCAGUGGGAUAUAAAGGACAAGAUUUCGGGCUCUUACCAUUUGGCUCUGGUCGAAGGAUAUGUCCCGGGAUGGCUAUGGGGAUGGCUACUGUUGAAUUGGUACUCUUGAACUUACUUUACUUCUUCGACUGGAAGUUGCCUGAUGGGAUGACGGAUAGAGACAUCGAUAUAGAAGAAGCUGGUACUCUUACGGUUGUCAAGAAAGUACCUCUCAAGCUUGUCCCAGUUCUUCAUUCACUGGUUACACCAAACUCCAGUUUUAGAAAAUGAAGAAGUUUCAUAUGCACUUUCUCUAAGUAAAAAAGGAAAUCUGUGGCUAGUAUAAAACUAUCAGUAAGAUUAUGUGUAAAAGCCUGAAUAAUGGCUCCGUGGAGAAUGGAGUCUGUGUUGUAGAUAUGCUUCAUUCACACUCUCAAACUUCUUUAAACCUUACGAAUCUUUGAUAUGCCAUCCGAUUCAGCUGUGUGACUGCAUUGAUCACUAAGAGAACAUAAAGCAGAUAAGAGUUUACCAUUUCAAAACGAUUAUAUUCUAAAAAGGAAAAGGACAGAAGAAUCUCGUACCUGCGAGGUAACAAAAUGAUAUUUUGUAUACCUGCACUCAAACAUGUUUUCAAUGAACAUCUGAGCAACAUGAUGAUCAUAUUGUAACAUCCCGAUUUCUAGUGGAAAGACUUAAUAGACUUGAUUUUACUAUCUAUGUCACCAAAGUUGACUUACUUUUUCCGUCACACAUCCGUUUAGAACUCUAGAUUUAAGCGUGCUUUGGAUGGAGUAGUGAAAGGAUAGGUGACCUAUCGGGAAGUGAUUCGCGAUACCGUGUGAAUGAGGCCAAAGCACGGGGAAAAGUCAUGUGGUGAUUGCAGGGUCAGUAAACAAGACUUUCGAGCCGCCCGUCAGAUGGGGUGGAGCCCACGGGCCGAGAGAGCAGAUGUGGGUGGCCUAUUAGCAGUGGGGGGUCGGGCGUUACACAUAUGUUCUCAACUGAUCACACAAUAAUCAUAGUAGUAUAUAAUACGUAGACAUGGGCGUUCAAGAGGCUGUUGGAGAGAAGAUCCCACAUUGGAAAUAUGUAAGGCACUUGAAUAAUAUAUAAGAUACUUCAGCCACUCUACUUCGUCAAUUGAUUUUAAGUUGAAAGUCCACGGAACUUAUCAUGGUAUCAGAGUGUGUCCACACCCUGACCCAUUAAUCCGGCCCUGAAAGUGCCCGAUCAUCCCACUAGCGGACAGCCCAUAGAAGACUCAGUUCCGCCGAAAUUGCUAGAAAAAGAGCAUUGUCUUGGAGGGAAUAUGAUGGAUUCUGCGAGAUUAAUGAUUAUACGUACCAUUGUCUCGAGAGAGAAGAUCUCACAUUGGAAAUAUGCAAGAUACUUGGGCCACUUCACUUACAUUCCCAAAUGGAACUUAUGACCAAGUUGGAAGCCCAAGAAACUUAUCAGGGGCUACUAAUGGAAAUGCCGACAUCUACUACUAAUGGAUUGACAUUCCAGAACAGGAAGUCAUUUGAAUGCCCGAAGUCUGCAUCUUCUAUUACAUCGCCGAAAGAGUGAAAAGUCCCUUCUUGCCUGAUGAGUUCUUCUUUCUUUUCUUGCUCCUCACAGUCAAGAUCCCACAAAUUCUGACUGACUUGAAAUUAAUAGUCGUUUUAUCUGAUGAUAUGAGAUGACGAGCGUCAGACAGAGAAAGAGAAAAAAGUCUAGUCAAGAAGCUUAACGGUGAAGAUGGAAAAUGAAUUGAAUCUUUCACCCACCUCAGUCACCCUAGCACUCUUGUGCCUCAUCGAUCUGCCUUCUCACUCCAGGAGAGCCAUUUCGCCAUUCAAAAAGAACUGUACACGCGCGUAUGGAUCAUCCAUCAGAAUCAAUCAGUCUUUCAGAAUAGUCAUCAAGCAAGCUAUAGAAGUAUGUGUAAGGAAAGAGAAAGAAGUGAGUUGGUAUGGCGUCAAAGUCAGAAAUCAAAAUCGUGGUCGAUCUUUUUCAGGCUAUCGAAUCAGCAAGGGUUUUUGAAUAGUCAAGGCUACUCGAUAAAGGAUGGCUGGCAUUCAUCAGUACGUGGAUCCGCCUUAGGGGUUGGUUCAGCCACCCGACGACCGGCACUUGCCAUUGAAAAACCGCUUAAUCGUGCUUUCUAUUCCUAUGAAUAAAAGAAGAAGAUAAGGUAACAAAGUUAGCCCAUAUUCACUCAACGCCAAAUAAAGCUUCUAAAACAAGGUAAAAACUUCACGGAUUUCAUCAGGAUUAAUAGUCAUAGGAAAGGUAUACUCAAACGAAGAAAAGAUCUUUUUUGCAAGGUCACCAUAGUUCUAUUUGAAAUUCGACUGUUUACUACAUUACUUCCUGAAAGUGUGCCCGUGCCCUCAGAGGGUAAGGGGGUUUUAGAAUAGGGGUAGGAAGGACCUUUUAUGGGUAUAAUUCAUGUUCGGUCCCCCGCUCAACAAGCACUGGAUUAGCUUCCGGCGGAAUCCGCUUUGAAGGCCAUGGCCUUCCAUUGAGACAAGAGAUGAUGCACGCUGAACUAGGAUGCUUGGAAAUUGCGUACUUUUUUUCUGACACCUGGCACAAAGAACUCGAGUGCCACCUGAUACCACAGUGUAUUAGAGUUUGAGCAACAGAUCAAGGUUCGAGCUAAAGCUAAUUCCGAUUUUUCGUGGGAAGAAGUACGGUUUCGGACAGCGCAUGAUGAACUAUUGAAUCCUUCUCCAUCCGAAUUCGUUUCAGUUCCAGGUAUUGAAGCGAAAGAUGACUCAACCGUAGGAAAAAGCCACUCGGGGAUCAAUUUUCCACAUCAGUCUAAGUGGUGUAGGAGGAACCCCUGGCAUAAUAAAGGCCGGAGAUUAGAAUAGAAUGCUGACUUCUAGUUUUUAGCCGGGUAGGAGAUCGAGGAAGUCUUAAAAGUGAGUGCAUCAGUCUUAUCCGAUUACUUAAUAGAAGUCUGUCAGUCUCAUCUUUGAAUUGCUGAGAGGACUUAGGAGAAGCUUAUUCGUGACUAUGAGCAAAGACCAGCGGUAGUGAUGGCUACAAGUGGGCUACGAGACCAAGGUGGGGUUGCUAGACUGAGUCAGGGGAGAAAGAAGUGGAAUCAACGGGAAGACUUCAUUGCGAGAAUCAAUCAUAUGGAGGCUUGCAGAACUUCUUCCUAUGGGAAGCAAGUUAAUAAUGUAUCAGGUAAGGCCGGUCUAGGUACAUAGUUACAUCAUAAAUGAAUGCUCUUCGUUGAGUUCUGACUUUACAGGCAGUUAGAGGAAAUAUGUUUUCAUUGCGUAGAUCGAGGCCGUGAUGCAAGAAGACAAGGACUCCUUGGAAGGAAAGAGAUUACAAAAACUGGCGCUUGGCUGUCAGGCGCAACCCUUUGACUUGGUUUCCUUGUCGAGUCAAUUCGUUCUUCCAGUUCUGCAAGACUGGUUAUGUCGCAGAGCUGCAGUUUUCCUUUUUCUUGUUUUUCGCAUAAAAGCUGUUGCUGUAAUAGAAAGCGCAUACAAGCCAGCACUGACAAGUAAGCCUGCUCACAAUCGCAUCUAUUAUUAAAGCUUUCUUUCGUAUAGAAAUAUCAGCUGUGACUAUACUGGCUAGUUAGAAAAACAAUCUGGCACGUAAGCAAACAGUCCUUUCGACGCUUAAGCAUAUCAGCUUUUCUCACUAUCUUUGUAUCAGCUGUUCUAUCAUUCCUUACUGAAAGUCCGGAAUAAAGAAAGCGGUUACUGGCGCUGUUACUACUCUUCCUAAAAGCCCUGUUGGCGCAUAUCAUGGGAAUGAAAGUUGUUCCUAGUAAUUCCUUACUUCGACGACUGAAGGCUGUUGUCGAUGUUGCAGUUACUGUCGCAACAUCCGCUGCUGAUCUAUAUUCAAAAAGAUUGUGUACUAAUAGAAGCUGUUCCUGAAUCUAGCUUAGUCGCAUUUCUCUAUCCGCAUGUCGUCCAGUGGGAGUGAGAAAUUAGGGAAAAAGCCGAAACAGAACUAACGGAGAUUGAGGUAUACUCCGUGCUGCGAAACGGAUUAGUCCAGUACAAUACUGAGUAUUAUUGAGGCCAUGAAGACGGACAGCGCCGAGGAACACCUGCCUAUAGCGUUCUUUUCGAUCUUGUACUCUACCAAUUGAUAGGUUGAUUUCGCACUUUAGAAAAAGUUCGGAAGGCCGGAACGACACCUGCGAACUCGGAUAGCAUUGUGGCAUACCUUUUCAUCUGAACUAGGCUACUUUCUUUCUUCUCUUAUGAAAUUGAUAAUUUCAGAUCAUUCUUAAAAGAAUCUCUCUCUUAUAUAUGAUACCACCAGAUGUGCCCCCUCCAUCCUCGUCCAAUCUUUCUAAGUGCCAGCCUAGCUUCAUAGGAAGCUGAACAAUACGUCCAGCUCCUUAAGGAAUGAAUACUUGGGCUUGGACCAUCAACGGGCGAAGCAGGUUUCCUGUUUGCAUCACCUUUUCUCCGGUAUUUUUGAAACUCGAUCUUUAAAUCAUUCAAUUCGAAAUAGCUUAUAUAACGAGAAAUUGGAAUUCGAUUGAAAACUCUCUCAACUCAAUUGGAAGAUAACAUAGUAGCUUUCGCCCCAAAAAGCUUCGCCUAGAGUGGAUCAGGUCCUUAUACGUAAGGCGAUCCCGCGAAGCAGGUCACCUCCUGCUUCCUUUUCUUUUUGAGCAGAUGUUGCUUGCAAAUAAAAAGAUAAUAAGUGUUUUCUUAUUACCCAUUUUUUUAAGAGAAAAGAUAGUCUAGAAUUAGCUCUUAGAUAUUCCAAGGAAGCUUUUAGGUCAAAAUAGAUAUGAUGAUAUCAGACAGCAGUGAACCCCCUUAUCCCCAUCUGCAUGGACUUGGCUAGUGAAGCACAACCACUCUUCUUUCCAUAGAGAGUGCUACCCUAGAGUAAGAUGAGCGACCCCAGUGGCAACGUGGGCCUAAAGAGUCAUAUGACCUUCACUAGUCAACGAAGUGCAUCAACGGAUGUAGGCACGUUCUUGCUUGAUCAUUUGCUCUCACUAGACCGCCUAGAGUACGAUACUGGUUCACCAUAGGUCCGAAGGGCUGUCUCUUGUGUGCGAUGGUUGGGCAUGAAUGGAGCUUGCUCGGUAGAAAGGAGAGUAACCUUUCGGGGAGUAGAGAUCUGGCAGAAGGACCAGUAGUUGUAGCCACAGGGAGCGAGAUCCCGACGUUCGUAAGCGUGAUUCUGACCUCCAGCGCAUGGGCGCCCCGUAACACUCCUUCCGAUUCGAGAACAAAUAGCCCCUCUAUUAUAUAGAAAGCCGGCAGGCGUUCCUCUCAGUCGAGAGACUGGCGUUCCUCGAGGUGAAAGCUAGAAGCAGCCCCGCCUACGAAUGAAUGGGAGAUUGGAGGCCCCCUUCCGUGCUCGUUAAAGCGCACGCCUAUUCAAAGUCAAAGAAGAGGUCCCGGGCUUGGUUGAUUCAUUUUCCUGCCGAACACGAUCUACAUUAACCAGCACCCAACCUUUAAUGCGCUUAGACUUUACUUUUGACCCCCCCCCCUUUUCUUCCCUGUCCACAGCAUUCAAACCCUGAACCAACAAAGGCGAGUGACCAGCCACCAAUGAGGGAAGAGCUUUCUUCUGUUAAAGAGCUGAAAUUUCGUAAUGAAAGAAGUCACUCCAGAAUCAUUUCAAUCCAGUGUACAAAAGUCGGACAGAAACAGAAAGAUGAUAAGACCCGAAGUUGGCUCCGGCGAUCUGCUUAAUGAAUUGAAGGGUGGAACCAAGGAAGACAACUGAAUAACCAGAAAAUGAGUCCUUCAGGCCACCAGCAAGUUUAGGAUUACGUUUUGUCUGAGUUGUUUUUGGGUGGGACGCACUCAGUGCUUUUCCAACCCGGCAGGACAGUCUUCCCACGCGCCCGAGUCAAAGAGAAUAUGGCCUCAAAGGAUGGCUGCUUCCAAGCCCACCUCCUGGUUGUCAUCGUCCUUUUCCCAUUUUGCGCCAGGAGCCUCCGACAGCCUGGCAGACUGCAAAAUCAUUGCACUUCCUUCUCACGAUGGAUGGAACCAGGAGAGCUAGGCACGGGAAGGGAAGCUAGGCUCACUCCCGACAAUUAUAUACCUGCAUUCCAGACAAUGGUCCAACCCUUUGAUAUUCCUAAGGUAACAGAGUACAUAGGUGAGAAAGGAGCGCUUUUUUAAGCUCAGCAAGACCGAAUGGAAUUCAAGUAUAUGGCACUCUAACUACGAAAGGAAUGCCAACAAGAAAGCUAAUAGGGAUAUGACUACUAGCUGCUAAGAUAGAAAUCGAAAAGAACUCCUAAUAGCAUUGGUUGCCGCUCUAUCUAUUCUGUUAGUUCCAUAGCCGCGCUUCCUACUAGUCGGAUAGGAACAGCUAACUGCCUAGCUACAAGAAGAGAGAUAUGAGGAAAGAAGAGCUACCAGCUAGCAGCUAGGAUAGGAACUCUAAACUAGCUACUAGAGGAAGUCAAGCUACUAACAGAGCUCAAAGCGGAUAAGAAAUCGGAAGAGACAGACGCAAGGAAGAUCAGAGGCGUUCCUCGGUGCUAUUUCCCUC
rnacentral:lncRNA from 1 species